rnacentral:rRNA from 1 species
UAGUAACGGCGAGUGAAGCGGCAACAGCUCAAAUUUGAAAUCUGGCGUCUUCGGCGUCCGAGUUGUAAUUUGUAGAGGAUGCUUUGGGUCAGCCACCGGUCUAAGUUCCUUGGAACAGGACGUCACAGAGGGUGAGAAUCCCGUACGUGACCGGCUUCGGCAACCUAUGUAAAGCUCCUUCGACGAGUCGAGUUGUUUGGGAAUGCAGCUCUAAAUGGGAGGUAAAUUUCUUCUAAAGCUAAAUACCGGCGAGAGACCGAUAGCGCACAAGUAGAGUGAUCGAAAGAUGAAAAGCACUUUGGAAAGAGAGUUAAAAAGCACGUGAAAUUGUUGAAAGGGAAGCGCUUGCAAUCAGACUUGCCCGCGGAUGUUCAACCGGUCUUCUGACCGGUCUAUUCUUCCGUGGGCAGGCCAGCAUCAGUUUCGGCGGCCGGACAAAGGCCCUGAGAAUGUAGCACCCCUUCGGGGGUGUGUUAUAGCUCGGGGUGUAAUACGGCCUGCCGGGACUGAGGUCCGCGCUUCGGCUAGGAUGCUGGCGUAAUGGUUGUAAGCGGCCCGUCUUGAAACACGGACCAAGGAGUCUAACAUCUAUGCGAGUGUUAGGGUGUCAAACCCUUACGCGUAAUGAAAGUGAACGGAGGUGGGAACCGCAAGGUGCACCAUCGACCGAUCCUGAUGUCUUCGGAUGGAUUUGAGUAAGAGCAUAGCUGUUGGGACCCGAAAGAUGGUGAAC